UAUCGUAAAAAUGAUUGAAUAAAUAACGCAUUGAAAAAGAGUAAUUAAAACAAUAAUUUCUGCUACAUGUCAUACCACAGAUGUGACUUUGUAGAUAGUAAAGCCUUUCUUAUGUCGUGUCGUUCCGGGAAUAAUAAAACGUCUCAUCCAUUUGUCUUUUGUGGAUGCCAUCGUUUGUAUAAUUAAACCAUAAAACCAGAAGCUCGAUAAAUUGAUCACUUAUCGUUUUAAUUCGCACAUUUUUACCAUCAUAUUUUCACGUAUCAGGCUUUUUUCUUCUUUUGCGAGGCAUGUAUAAUGCGAUUAGUUAAUUGUCAAUUACUGUCAUUUACAUGCAUUCAUAUUCAUUGGUGUUAUAAAUGUAUCCAUCAUUUGGAAUAACUGUUUAUAAAGUAUGUACUUUAUAAUUCUCAGUAAAAAAUGCACUAUUGUCUACAUAACUUAAGUCACUGCAAACAAAGUUUAAGUCAAUUCUACGUUGUUACACUGGUUUUGUAUAAUAAAUGGGCAACUACCAGAGAAUUAGUGAGCCAUCCACUGACUUCGAUCUAUCCUUUCUUACUGCCUGAGCGCUAUUGCGCGUGCGACUGUUUGUUCUGAACUUAAAAAUCGGUAGAACUAAAGUGAAUAAAAGCAAGAUUACCUAUCGUAGUUUUCAAAUGACGUAUUGAUAGUGGACAAUUUAUUAAAGAAUCGUUCGCUACUGCUUGAGAGAUUAUAUAGUUAUCAAUACCAUUUGUUAAUAGUAGUGUGCUUGUAAAAUUGAAAGUUUGAUUAAUUUGCAAUAAGAAGCACAAUUCGUAUGUGACAAUAUUUAAAUAGAAUAAUUUAUGUUAUCAAAGAAACAAAAGCUGU